rnacentral:misc_RNA from 1 species
CCGAGUUCACGAACUCCCAAACCCCGUGCGAACCUACCUAUCCGUUGCUUCGGCGGUGCCGCCCCGGGCGCGGGCCUCUUGUCAGGCCGCCAGCCCCGGACCCAGGCGCCCGCCGGGGGACCCCAAACCCUGUAUUUCCUAGCGGAUUAUUCUGAGUGGUGCCGUCGGGCGCCGAAAAGCACAAUGAAUCA